rnacentral:rRNA from 1 species
UUGGUAUGCACUGGCUUUACUGAUUCCUCCUUCUUGACGAACCGUGAUGUCAUUAAUUUGGUGUUGCGGGAAAUCAGGACUGUUACUUUGAAAAAAUUAGAGUGUUUAAAGCAGGCUAACGCUUGAAUACAUUAGCAUGGAAUAAUGAAAUAGGACGUUAAUCCUAUUUUGUUGGUUUCUAGGAUCGACGUAAUGAUUAAUAGGGAUAGUUGGGGGCAUUAGUAUUCAAUUGUCAGAGGUGAAAUUCUUGGAUUUAUUGAAGACUAACUACUGCGAAAGCAUUUGCCAAGGAUGUUUUCAUUAAUCAAGAACGAAAGUUAGGGGAUCGAAGACGAUCAGAUACCGUCGUAGUCUUAACCAUAAACUAUGCCGACUAGGGAUCGGAUGAUGUUAAUUCUUUAAUGACUCA